GAACGGGAAGGUCUCGACGCGCGCCGCCGUGCCGCCGGCCGCCACAUAGUGCAGGCGCACCUCGUCGCGCCGCCCGCUCGACUGCACCUCCAGAGCGCGGAGACGGCGAGUGCGCCGCGCGAGGCAUUAGACACAAUACGAGACAAAAAGGAUUGCCAUGUCGCUUGGAAUGCAAGUGCGGAUCGGCUCGGCGGAGUCCCCUCGGUGUAGCGCGAAGCGGCGAUGCGGCCGGCCGCACGGCGACCACUAACAUCAACAUCCAGGUAACAGAACAUCGAACGAGGAUCAUAAGGGGCGGUCGGACAUAUACAGAACACAAAACGUCAAGACACAGAACACAAGACGGACGGCGGCGGAGGACGCGGGGGGCGCGGGGCGCAUGCAAGCCGGCCCGUCCGCGCACACAUACAUCCAUGCAGAUGUGACAGUGAGCGCAAUCAGGUCAACGGAUGGAUCGAGGAGGACAUUCCGAGGCACAGGACAUUCCAAGAUACAUGAUUCUCCCCUAGAGCGCGCGCGCAUGGCGCCCGCAGUCGCGCGGGAGGCAUGCGCGCGCGCAGCGAUGUUGAGAUCUAGAACUCACCGUGCGGAGCGGCGCGUCGCAGCUGCCGCGCCCUCGCCGCGCCUCGCCCGCCGCAGCUCGGCCGCGCCAUCCACUUCCACUACUCGGUACCAGAUGAAUAUAUAAUUAAGUCGUGAAAUCGGGACUUCAGCAAUUUAAUUAUCCAAACAUCAACUUAUCAUAUUCUGGUAGCUACGGCAACCGUGGCCGCGGUCGCUACAAAAAGUGCUACGCCGCGUAGCGAGAGCUACGUAGGCGCUACGCACUCUUUUAUCAUUUAUUUGAACAAAACACCGUUGUGUAUUUUAUUU